rnacentral:lncRNA from 12 species
UGGGAGCAGGAUUUCAAGGAAAGAGCAGGAUUUCAGAGAACAGAGCAGGAUUUCAGAGCCAGUUUCCCCUGGCACAGCACAGAGCAGGAUUGGAAGCACAGAACAGGGUUUCACAGCACAGAGCAGGAUUUCAGAUGGGUUGUCCCUGGCACAGCACAGAGCAGGAUUUCAGAGCCAGUUUCCUAUGGCACAGAGCAGAGCAGGAUAACAGAUCAGUUUUCCCUGGCACAGUGGCAGCAGGAUUUCAAGGAAAGAGCAGGAUUUCAGAGCACAGAGCAGGAUUUCACAGAGCAGAGCAGGGUUUUGGAUCAGUUUUCCCUGGCACAGCACAGAGCAGGAUUUCAGAUCAGCUCUCCCUGCUGGUUUCACAGAGCAGAGCAGGGUUUUGGGUCAGCUCUCCCUGGCACAGCAGGAACAGAAUUUCACAGAGCAGAGCAGGAUUUUGGAUCAGCUCUCCCUGCUGGUUUCAAGCCCAGAGCAGGGUUUCGGAUCAGCUCUCCUGGCACAGAGCAGCAGCCCCACACAGCCCCUGCCAGCUCCUGUUCUCACUCCUCCCCAGCUGUGCCAGGCACAGGGGCAGCCCUGGUGCCGAUUCUGCCAUCCCAGCCAGGGACUGACUGCAGUCAGAGAGGGGGGGAAGAGCCCCCAGGGCUUUUUUUUGGAAGAUUUUGGAAGGCUGCAGGAGGAGCUGGGGGGUGACAGGGGCUCUGCAGGUUGUGGGUCAGGAUCCCUGUGGUUCCUUCUCCAGUCAUUUCUCACCCAACCCCGCUCGGGGUGAGGGCUCUGAGCACGGGCAGCACAGAAAUUCAGGGUUCAGAGCAGAAUGUGGCAGAGGGGAAGCUGCACCAGCCUCCUCCCCUCAGCAGGGACCGGCCCAGAUGGCAAAGAGGGGAACAAAACCAGCCUUGGGAGCUUUGAUCAGCCCCAGAGGGAAACAGCCCAUGGGCUCCUGCAGCAGCUCCACAGGCAGGGGCGAGCAGAGCACAGCCCCCACGCCCUGGGCUGCAUUCCUGGCUUUGGGUGCAAUUCUUGGGGUUUAUUUGUAAUUCCUGCUGUUUAUUUGCCAUUCCUGCUGUGUGUUUGUCAUUCCUGCUGUUUAUUUCCAAUUCCUGCUGUUUAUUUCCAAUUCCUGCUGUUUAUUUGCCAUUCCUGCUGUUUAUUUCCAAUUCCUGCUGUUUAUUUGCCAUUCCUGGGGUUUAUUUGCCAUUCCUGGUGUUUGUUUAUUUGCAAUUCCUGCUGUUUGCAUUUCUGUUUCCUUCCCAGAGCGUGGAUUGGGCAAAUCCCCGCGGGCCCAGGGCCAGGUGAGUCCUGCUGCCCUUGGGUGGCUCAGGAUCCUCCAUUUGGGAUCCCCAUUCCAUCCAGGCAGUUUUUGGGAUCCCCCAUUCCAUCCAGGCAGUUUUUGGGAUCCCCACCCUGGAAGAUUUUGGGAUCCUCCAUUCAGGCAGUUUUUGGGAUCCCCAUCCAGGCAGUUUUUGGGAUCCCCAUCCAGGCAGUUUUUGGGAUCCCCAGGGGGGGGGGGGGGGGGGGGGGGGGGGGGGGGGGGGGGGGGGGGGGGGGGGGGGGGGGGGGGGGGGG